ensembl:lncRNA
CAGAGACAUUUGACACCUUUUUGCUCUUUGGUCCUCUCAACCGGUGCAAAACAAUAUCCCCACAGGGAGAUGAAGAUGCACUGGAUGAACCGAAAGGCGGGCGAGAUGAGCGCUGACAGGGACCUCCCACGCCUCCGACGAGGCUCCGCUCCCGCCGCAGUGCAACAGCAGCCUCUGGUGGAGGGCGGUGAAGGGUGGUGCAGGGUGGUGGAGCUCAUGGAUCUGAAGCUGGACUCAUUUCCCUAAACAGAGGUGCGUUGAAGUCCAGCUGCAUGAAGGGACUGUCCCUCGCUGCCCCGAAGGAAUAAGCCCAAACAUCCAGUGUGAUCAGUGUUUGGCCUUGGACACACGGCGUCCCGUGUUUGGCUGCUUUAACAUUCAGAUUCAUCUCAUCAAAGAGAGUCUUUUGCACUUCAUUAGACAUGUUUAAUAUUUCCAUAAACUACGUUUUUCAUGAUACCAGUGGCUGCCCUAUGCGGAACAUUACUGUACGCUGCACCCUUUGUCUGGAGCUAUUACUUUACAUGUGUCACUGUUCUU